rnacentral:tRNA from 1 species
GGCGAUUCGACUUUUCUAUACCUCAUCCGCUUAUAAUGAUCGCGGCCAAGAAACAUGUGGCCGGUUGGGGCUAU